rnacentral:rRNA from 1 species
UACGGGGGGUGCGAGCGUUGUUCGGAAUCACUGGGCUUAAAGGGCGCGUAGGCGGGCUGUCAAGUCUGGGGUGAAAUCCCGCGGCUCAACCGUGGAACUGCCUCAGAUACUGACGGUCUCGAGGGAGGUAGGGGCGAGCGGAACUGAUGGUGGAGCGGUGAAAUGCGUUGAUAUCAUCAGGAACUCCGGUGGCGAAGGCGGCUCGCUGGACCUCUUCUGACGUUGAGGCGCGAAAGCCAGGGGAGCAAACGGG